AACAGGAAACAGCUUGCUGUUUCGCUGACGAGUGGCGGACGGGUGAGUAAUGUCUGGGAAACUGCCUGAUGGAGGGGGAUAACUACUGGAAACGGUAGCUAAUACCGCAUAACGUCGCAAGACCAAAGAGGGGGACCUUCGGGCCUCUUGCCAUCGGAUGUGCCCAGAUGGGAUUAGCUUGUUGGUGGGGUAACGGCUCACCAAGGCGACGAUCCCUAGCUGGUCUGAGAGGAUGACCAGCCACACUGGAACUGAGACACGGUCCAGACUCCUACGGGAGGCAGCAGUGGGGAAUAUUGCACAAUGGGCGCAAGCCUGAUGCAGCCAUGCCGCGUGUAUGAAGAAGGCCUUCGGGUUGUAAAGUACUUUCAGCGGGGAGGAAGGGAGUAAAGUUAAUACCUUGCUCAUUGACGUACCCGCAGUAAUGA
rnacentral:rRNA from 1 species